ensembl:snoRNA SNORA70 Small nucleolar RNA SNORA70
UUGCCGCCAAUUAAGUCGACCAUGUUCUUUUCCCCAAAGUGGCCCCGUGUGCAAUGGCUGCAAACAGCAGCCUCCCCAGCAGUGUGCACAGCCUGUCGCCUGCAGAGGCUGCCCUAAGGGGCCCUGGAGAAAACC